UGGGGGAUAUUGCACAAUGGGCGAAAGCCUGAUGCAGCGACGCCGCGUGGGGGAUGAAGGCUUUCGGGUUGUAAACCUCUUUCGCUAUCGAACAAGGCCCGCUUAGGGUGGGUUGAGGGUAGGGGGAGAAGAAGCGCCGGCUAACUACGUGCCAGCAGCCGCGGUAAUACGUAGGGCGCGAGCGUUGUCCGGAAUUAUUGGGCGUAAAGGGCUUGUAGGCGGCUUGUUGCGCCUGCUGUGAAAACGCGGGGCUUAACUUCGCGCGUGCAGUGGGUACGGGCAGGCUUGAGUGUGGUAGGGGUGACUGGAAUUCCAGGUGUAGCGGUGGAAUGCGCAGAUAUCUGGAGGAGCACCGAUGGCGAAGGCAGGUCACUGGGCCAUUACUGACGCUGAGGAGCGAAAGCAUGGGUAGCGAACAGG
rnacentral:rRNA from 1 species